rnacentral:snRNA from 1 species
GUGCUUGCUUCAGCAGCACAUAUACUAAAAUUGAAACAAUACAGAGAAGAUUAGCAUGGCCCCUGCACAAGGAUGACACGCAAAUUCGUGAAGCGUUCUAUAUUUAA